GGCAAAAUUAACUGCCAAGCUCAAUCUUCCGGCAAUCAGGGCACGCCGUUGCUCCCUUGAUAUUAAUGCAGUCUCUGUAGCGGGAAAAGUUUAUUAAAACAUACCUACAAUAUAAACAAAAUAAGUGUGAUUGUAAGAUAGUAAUGCUAAACAUGAAAUACAUUUAGGAUAACAAGAACCUAAAAGAUAAGUUGAUCUGUGAACGAGCGAGAGUUGAACCCAGAACCCGGGACGCCAAGAGAUAAGUUAACUAUCCUUGCAAAUACAAAUGGGAACAGAUAUGCUAACCUCAAAGGGUUCGAUAAAUUGAAAGCUGAACUUGAAUCUUUAGCAUAACAAGAACAAAUAUUCCUGCUUAAUUCCUAUAUGUUUGAAUUUAUAAUAAGUUCUUUAACAAUUAUAACAUGGCCGAUCAAAGAAAUAAAGCAACCAACCUGGGUUCUGAUACUUGGAGCAAUCUUAGAACAUACCGCCAGAAUGAUGCCAUCAUGUAUAUGUUAUUCAUAUACAUUGAUUAUGUAU
rnacentral:lncRNA from 1 species